rnacentral:rRNA from 1 species
AUUGAACGCUGGCGGCAUGCCUUACACAUGCAAGUCGAACGGUAACAGGUCUUCGGAUGCUGACGAGUGGCGAACGGGUGAGUAAUACAUCGGAACGUGCCUAGUAGUGGGGGAUAACUACUCGAAAGAGUGGCUAAUACCGCAUGAGAUCUACGGAUGAAAGCAGGGGAUCGCAAGACCUUGUGCUACUAGAGCGGCCGAUGGCAGAUUAGGUAGUUGGUUGGAUAAAAGCUUACCAAGCCGAGGAUCUGUAUCUGGUCUGAGAGGACGAUCAGCCACACUUGGACUGAGACACGGACCAGACUCCGACGGGAGGCAGCAGUGGGGAAUUUUGGACAAUGGGCGCAAGCCUGAUACAGCAAUGCCGCGUGCAGGAUGAAGGCCUUCGGGUUGUAAACUGCUUUUGUACGGAACGAAAAGCCCCGGGUUAAUACCCUGGGGUCAUGACGGUACCGUAAGAAUAAGCACCGGCUAACUACGUGCCAGCCGCCGCGGUAA